CGACUGAAAGAACAUGUUCGCGCACAAGUAAAGAAAAUGAUGUGUUGGGGUCUGUGCGAUGUACACGUCAGCAUUGAACGAAAUCUCUGGACUUCCCGUUCAACUGAACCCGUCAACAGGCAAGUUUUAGACGUCAAGAUCCAAGUCGUAGCCAAGUGGUAACAGAGACUGUGAAGGACAUACAGCGGAAAAGUAAGAAUCAGUGAAAAUUCUAUGCUGAGAAGGUACAUCUACAGUAUUCUACAGAUCCGCUGAUGGGCUUAACAGGCAGGCAUCAAAUGAACUUGACAGGUUCACCGAUACUUAAGGUUAAAAUGCACGGCAUAUGUUUGAUGAACACUUAGCAUUUUAUUCUUAUGUCAUCCAUUAUUUUCUUUUGAUUCUUCGUUUAUCCCCUCGCUUGUUCUUGGGAUCCGAAAAUGAUAAUAAAAAACAGA